GUGGACAGGGAAAGAAAGAAAACUUAGCAAGUUUAUCGUAACAAGUCUAUACUAAAUUCUAAAUUAAAUCUAAUGGUAAUAAGAAAGAGUCCCCGACAACAGCGCCAAAUUUGAUAUCCUCAAAUUACCCUAAAAGUGAAUUACUCUCUCAAAUAAGAGGUUCAGAUGCAGUACUUAGGGAUCGAAUCCACAAGGACUCUAGGAUUACUCAACAGAUCUAAGGUAUUAAAUAAAGAUAGACUAAGAGGUAUAUUUGUUUAAAAGCAGUAAAUGACGAGUCGAACAAGGUAAUUGUUCGGUGGUUUAAGUUGAAGUUGUUUUAAGGAUGGGAAAACAGCUAGACUUAGGCAAAUUCUCAGGUAUGAAAUGCAUGCAACUUAGUUUAGACUAAAUGAUUUGACGGUUUUUGAACUCAAACAAUGAUAAAACCAGAUGGGUUUUCUUUACUAGAUCUCGGAUCUCAACUGUCGUCUUUUGAUCACGAGAAAAA
rnacentral:lncRNA from 1 species